rnacentral:rRNA from 1 species
AUUGAACGCUGGCGGCAUGCCUUACACAUGCAAGUCGAACGGCAGCACGGGAGCAAUCCUGGUGGCGAGUGGCGAACGGGUGAGUAAUAUAUCGGAACGUGCCCAGUCGUGGGGGAUAACGUAGCGAAAGCUACGCUAAUACCGCAUAUGAUCUAUGGAUGAAAGCGGGGGGAUCGCAAGACCUCGCGCGAUUGGAGCGGCCGAUAUCAGAUUAGGUAGUUGGUGAGGUAAAGGCUCACCAAGCCGACGAUCUGUAGCUGGUCUGAGGGGACGACCAGCCACACUGGGACUGAGACACGGCCCAGACUCCUACGGGAGGCAGCAGUGGGGAAUUUUGGACAAUGGGCGCAAGCCUGAUCCAGCAAUGCCGCGUGCAGGAUGAAGGCCUUCGGGUUGUAAACUGCUUUUGUACGGAACGAAACGGCGAGCUCUAAUACAGUUUGCUAAUGACGGUACCGUAAGAAUAAGCACCGGCUAACUACGUGCCAGCCGCCGCCGUAA